GCAAGUCGAACGAUGAUGCCCAGCUUGCUGGGUGGAUUAGUGGCGAACGGGUGAGUAACACGUGAGUAACCUGCCCCUGACUCUGGGAUAAGCGUUGGAAACGACGUCUAAUACUGGAUAUGACGGCCGAUCGCAUGGUCUGGUCGUGGAAAGAUUUUUUGGUUGGGGAUGGACUCGCGGCCUAUCAGCUUGUUGGUGAGGUAAUGGCUCACCAAGGCGACGACGGGUAGCCGGCCUGAGAGGGUGACCGGCCACACUGGGACUGAGACACGGCCCAGACUCCUACGGGAGGCAGCAGUGGGGAAUAUUGCACAAUGGGCGAAAGCCUGAUGCAGCAACGCCGCGUGAGGGACGACGGCCUUCGGGUUGUAAACCUCUUUUAGUAGGGAAGAAGGGGACGCAAGUCUUUGACGGUACCUGCAGAAAAAGCACCGGCUAACUACGUGCCAGCAGCCGCGGUAAUACGUAGGGUGCAAGCGUUGUCCGGAAUUAUUGGGCGUAAAGAGCUCGUAGGCGGUUUGUCGCGUCUGCUGUGAAAUCCCGAGGCUCAACCUCGGGCUUGCAGUGGGUACGGGCAGACUAGAGUGCGGUAGGGGAGAUUGGAAUCCCUGGUGUAGCGGU
rnacentral:rRNA from 1 species